rnacentral:rRNA from 1 species
GACAGAGGGUGCAAACGUUGUUCGGAAUUACUGGGCGUAAAGCGUGCGCAGGCGGUUCUAUAAGACAGAUGUGAAAUCCCCGGGCUCAACCUGGGAACUGCAUUUGUGACUGUAGAGCUGGAGUACGGCAGAGGGGAUGGAAUUCCGCGUGUAGCAGUGAAAUGCGUAGAUAUGCGGAGGAACACCGAUGGCGAAGGCAAUCCCCUGGGCCUGUACUGACGCUCAGGUGCGAAAGCCAGGGGAGCGAACGGG